AACGAACGCUGGCGGCAUGCCUAACACAUGCAAGUCGAACGAGACCUUCGGGUCUAGUGGCGCACGGGUGCGUAACGCGUGGGAACCUGCCCUUAGGUUCGGAAUAACUCCCCGAAAGGGGUGCUAAUACCGGAUAAUGUCUUCGGGCCAAAGAUUUAUCGCCUUUGGAUGGGCCCGCGUUGGAUUAGCUAGUUGGUAGGGUAAAAGCCUACCAAGGCGACGAUCCAUAGCUGGUCUGAGAGGAUGAUCAGCCACACUGGGACUGAGACACGGCCCAGACUCCUACGGGAGGCAGCAGUGGGGAAUAUUGGACAAUGGGCGAAAGCCUGAUCCAGCAAUGCCGCGUGAGUGAUGAAGGCCUUAGGGUUGUAAAGCUCUUUUACCCGGGAUGAUAAUGACAGUACCGGGAGAAUAAGCUCCGGCUAACUCCG
rnacentral:rRNA from 1 species